UUUCCUGUGGCUCAGUCAGUAGAGCUUUGCACUAACAAUGCACAGAUUGUGGGUUUGAACCCUAGAUAAA